rnacentral:rRNA from 1 species
CGGUAAUACGUAGGGUGCGAGCGUUAAUCGGAAUUACUGGGCGUAAAGCGUGCGCAGGCGGUUUUGUAAGUCAGAUGUGAAAUCCCCGAGCUCAACUUGGGAACUGCGUUUGAAACUACAAGACUAGAAUAUGUCAGAGGGGGGUAGAAUUCCACGUGUAGCAGUGAAAUGCGUAGAGAUGUGGAGGAAUACCAAUGGCGAAGGCAGCCCCCUGGGAUAAUAUUGACGCUCAUGCACGAAAGCGUGGGGAGCAAACAGGAUUAGAUACCCUGGUAGUCCACGCCCUAAACGAUGUCUACUGGUUGUUGGUGGAGUAAAAUCCAUGAGUAACGCAGCUAACGCGUGAAGUAGACCGCCUGGGGAGUACGGUCGCAAGAUUAAAACUCAAAUGAAUUGACGGGGGCCCGCACAAGCGGUGGAUUAUGUGGAUUAAUUCGAUGCAACGCGAAAAACCUUACCUGGCCUUGACAUGCCACUAACGAAGCAGAGAUGCAU